rnacentral:rRNA from 1 species
GUAUUAAAGGUCCUGCCUGCCCAGUGAACUAGUUUUAAACGGCCGCGGUAUCCUAACCGUGCAAAGGUAGCACAAUCACUUGUUCUUUAAUUAAGGACUAGUAUGAAUGGCCAUAUGAGGGCCAAACUGUCUCCUGUAGCCAAUCAAUGAACCUGAUCUCCCAGUGCAAAAGCUGGGAUACCUCCAUAAGACGAGAAGACCCUGUGGAGCUUAAAACGGACCCUAUAAUCUAUUAUACCCAACAGGUAUAACAUAAAGAUGAAAUAGGCAGGUUUUCAGUUGGGGCGACUAUGGGGUAAAACAAAACCCCCACGAAAUAAAUAUUGUUCUAAGUAAACACACCGAUGACAAACACAAUGACCCAGUAUUACUGAUCAACGAACCAAGUUACCCCAGGGAUAACAGCGCCAUCCCCUUUAAGAGUCCUUAUCAUCAGGGGGGUUUACGACCUCGAUGUUGGAUCAGGACAUCCAGGUGGUGUAGCCGCUACCAAGGGUUCGUUUGUUCAACGAUUAAUAGUCCU